CGAGGUGGGCGAGCGUUGUUCGGAUUUACUGGGCGUAAAGGGUGCGUAGGCGGGGUUUUGUGUGUCGGGGUGUGAAAUCUCACCGUCCAACGGUGAAACUGCAUUCGAAACUGCAGGACUAGAGUACAGGAGGGGAGAGUGGAAUUCUCGGUGUAGCGGUGAAAUGCGUAGAUAUCGAGAAGAACGCCGGCGGCGAAGGCGACUCUCUGGACUGAUACUGACGCUGAGGCACGAAAGCUGGGGUAGCGAAGAGGAUUAGAUACCCUCGUAGUCCCAGCCGUAAACGGUGUGCACUUGGUGUGGGUGGCUUUGUCCCCAUCCGUGCCGUAGCUAACGCGUUAAGUGCACCGCCUGGGGAGUACGGCCGCAAGGCUA
rnacentral:rRNA from 1 species